CUGGCCUCUCCGCUUCUCAAAACAUAAAGCGCUGGCGGCGAUGGGUUCAUCCCUUCCACCCCGACCUCUCGCCUCUCUUGUUCAGUUCCCACCCCCGACCUCUUGUCUCUAACUCCGCGAUACAAGUUGCGCCGCCCUCGUCUCCGGCCGCCUCCUCUUCUACGCCCAGCCGCCGCCCUCUUAUUUACCCUUAAGAUUUCAUCAGGGACGGGAUCCACUCGCAAUUACGUUGAGGCUCUACACCACUAAAGACUGAACCAGAUUUUUACUCCGUGUCGCGACAUCUCUGGAUCCAACCUCGUUCGAGCACCGAGGCGCCGGUAAUGGUGAGCUCCUGAAUCCACAACCCAAAACCAAGCUUAUUCUUUUGGAUCCACGAUGCAAGGAACCAGGCGGCUCAGAGGGAGUGAGAUGGACACGACGAGAAGAUGCGUUGUCAUCCUCAAUCUUUUCUUGUCCAGAGACACCGGUGGCCCGUGGCCUGGUUACCACGAUGAGGUUCCAAUAGUCCAUGGGGAUCCAGCGACACACGCGCAGAGGAGCGGCCGGUCUGCGUCCAUCCAGCCAUAAUGCGAGGCGGGGUCCGGCCAAGACGAGGCUCGCGCUGUGAUUGACCAGAGGCCCGGGUCCGGCUUCAGUCGAUGCGCUCAAGGUGUCGUGGUGAAACGACUCCGUCUACUCUUCUCCCAGUCGCCUCCCUUCUCCAACCUCCCCAGCUCAUUCUCAUGUCUUUCUUCAGGCAGCCAAGUGAGCUCUUGUUGUACCUGCCGCAGUGUCCGUACAAAACAAGCGCGACGAUUAAGCGAGCUAGGGGCGAGUCAGUGUCAAAAAUCAAGGCCUAGCAGUUUUUUCUGAACUUUGCCACUUCAUAACAUGCUGAACCCUUCUCCUUGUGUUCAGAGUACAGACAAAACUCCUACUGGAAACAUGACGAUGGCGAACCCCGAUUUCAGAAGAACUAUGGAAAGAAAGUGUUGAGCAUAAAAAUGUGAUCUACUAUAGUGGUGAUGUUUCUUUUCUUAUAGUGUGGGCAAUAUUCUUUUUAUUCCUUAUGAACAUAAUGUAGUGCUAAUGUCAGGAGCAUGCAUGUACAAAUUAUAUCAUAAUAUACUCUUUA